AGAGUUUGAUCCUGGCUCAGAACGAACGCUGGCGGCGUGGAUAAGACAUGCAAGUUGAACGGGAUAUUGGUAGCAAUACCGAUGUCCAGUGGCGUAAGGGUGCGUAACACGUGGGUUACCUGCCGAGAAGUGGGGGAUAGCUCGCCGAAAGGCGAAUUAAUACCGCAUAGUACAUUUGUUAAAGCCGGGGCAACCUGGCGCUUCUUGAGGGGCCCGCGGCCUAUCAGCUAGUUGGUGAGGUAUCGGCUUACCAAGGCUAUGACGGGUAGCUGGUCUGAGAGGACGACCAGCCACACUGGAACUGAGACACGGUCCAGACACCUACGGGUGGCAGCAGUCGAGAAUUUUUCUCAAUGGGGGAAACCCUGAAGGAGCGACGCCGCGUGGAGGAUGAAGGUCUUCGGAUUGUAAACUCCUGUCAUUGAAGAACAAAAUACGUUAGUUAACUGCUAAUGUGUCGAUAGUAUUCGAAGAGGAAGGGACGGCUAACUCUGUGCCAGCAGCCGCGGUAAUACAGAGGUCCCAAGCGUUGUUCGGAUUCAUUGGGCGUAAAGGGAGCGUAGGUGGUCGGGUAAGUCAGAUGUCAAAUUUCGAUGCUCAACGUCGAAUCGCAUUUGAUACUGCCUGGCUAGAGGAAUUGAGAGGAGGCCGGAAUUCACGGUGUAGCAGAAAUGCGUAGAUAUCGUGAGGAAGACCAACGGCGAAAGCAGGCCUCUGGAAAUUUCCUGACACUGAGGCUCGAAGGCCAGGGGACAAACGGGAUUAGAUACCCUAGUAGUCC
rnacentral:rRNA from 1 species